GGGGUUGUAGCUCAGUGGCAGAGCACUUGCCUAGCAUGUGUGAGGCACUGGGUUCGAUUCUCAGCACCA
rnacentral:tRNA from 1 species